rnacentral:rRNA from 1 species
AAUGAACGCUGGCGGCAGGCCUAACACAUGCAAGUCGAGCGCCUCGCAAGAGGAGCGGCAGACGGGUGGGUAACGCGUGGGAACGUACUCAUAUCUUCGGAAUAGCCCUGGGAAACUGGAAGUAAUACCGAAUGUGCCCUCAGGUGGAAAGGUUUAUCGGAUAAGGAUCGGCCCGCGUUGGAUUAGCUAGUUGGUGGGGUAAAGGCCUACCAAGGCGACGAUCUAUAGCUGGUCUGAGAGGAUGAGCAGCCACAUUGGGAGUGGGACACGGCCCAAACUCCUACGGGAGGCAGCAGUGGGGAAUAUUGGACAAUGGGCGCAAGCCUGAUCCAGCCAUGCCGCGUGAGUGAUGAAGGCCUUAGGGUUGUAAAGCUCUUUCACCGGAGAAGAUAAUGACGGUAUCCGGAGAAGAAGCCCCGGCUAACUUCGUG